rnacentral:lncRNA from 1 species
CUAUUGAACACCUUCUAUACACUGAGUGUUUCAACAGCCUUUUAAAUCAUCACAUUAUCCCUCUUUUUAUAGUGGAGAAAUUGUGACCCAAGGGAUCUAAGCAAUAUGGCCAAGGUCACACAGCUAGUGUGAUGGAAACCCAGGUGCGCAUGUCUCUAAAGUCCAUAUUUUUUCCUUUAUGCCAAGAGAGCAAGAGAAUAUUUAAAGCACAUGGAUGGGCAAAGGAGGUGCUCUGAGAGGUUGGAAUGCCUGCAACUCCUUCUUCCCUCCUUCAUUCUUGGCUUACAAAUGGAUAUUUUCAGGGGAUUUAAGCAGAGAAGCCAGAGUCUGAAAAUCUGGAGCUGCAGUUGAACAACCAGAAGACCCAGGUCACCUCACCUCUCUGAGCCUCAGUUUCCUAUAAAAUGUGUGUAACAUUCCCUCCUAGGGUAAUGGAGGUGGUCCAAGGAGAUAACAAACUCACGGUGUUUGUAAACUCCUGAUUGUGUGUGUG